rnacentral:rRNA from 1 species
UACAGAGGUCUCAAGCGUUGUUCGGAUUCAUUGGGCGUAAAGGGUGUGUAGGUGCGGCGCGUAAGUCGGGUGUGAAAUUUCGAGGCUUAACUUCGAAACUGCAUUCGAUACUGCCGUGCUUGAGGACUGGAGAGGAGACUGGAAUUUACGGUGUAGCGGUGAAAUGCGUAGAUAUCGUAAGGAAGACCAGUGGCGAAGGCGGGUCUCUGGACAGUUCCUGACGCUGAGGCACGAAGGCCAGGGGAGCAAACGGG